rnacentral:rRNA from 1 species
UACGAAGGACCCGAGCGUUAUCCGGAUUUAUUGGGUUUAAAGGGUGCGUAGGCGGAAUAGUAAGUCAGUGGUGAAAGCCUGUUGCUUAACAACAGAACUGCCAUCGAUACUGCUAAUCUUGAGUACAUAUGAUGUGGGCGGAAUGUGCCAUGUAGCGGUGAAAUGCUUAGAUAUGGCACAGAACACCGAUUGCGAAGGCAGCUCACAAAACUGUUACUGACGCUGAGGCACGAAAGCGCGGGGAUCAAACAGG